GUUACUUGUUAAGGUAUAUGACAUUCGAGACUCGAGUGGUUUGAUGUAAAGCGGAUGCGGCCCAGCGUGUGGACCGCAACCGAAAAGGUGCACAGGGGUGUGAGGUUCGACAGCGUGCGGCCAACGGCGCACAGCUGAAGGGUUUUGGCACGAGGCCAGAAUCUUUAAUGAUCCUUCCGCAGGUUCACCUACGGAAA
rnacentral:misc_RNA from 1 species